CACCGCGGCCCCUCGCGGCCGCCGGGGGCCGGGCAGCGUCGCCAUCUUCCGCUCCGGGGGCCGCGCCCGGGAUGGGAGGCCGCUGCGAGCCGCGAGCCGGAAGCCGGGAGCCGGGAAGGGGCGCCCUGCAAAGGCGAUCGGCCUCUGGCUCCCGGCAGCGGGGCCUGGAGAAGGGGACCCUGGCUUUCCCUGCUUCGGAGCCUGCGGGAUUCCUCCAGGACACCGCCUGGAGCUCGAGUCACCUUCAGGGGCCGCUGUCACCCUCCCAGCCGGAGCCCCGGGGUGGUUUGAGGGGCUUUGGAGAGGGUGCGGGAUGCGCAGGCCUACUCCGCGCCAUCCUUACGCCUCCCCCGACAUCCACGGCGCGCCGCCCUCUCGGCGCCCCACACCGAGCCCUGCAGAGGUGUCUUAGGCUCUUUGUGGUGAGCCCGAGACUAGAAACGAAUUCGAGAUGGACCACCAGAACCGUGUGUUUAUCACGAAAGUCUCUAAAAGCAAUGCUGGGAACCGAACCCCAGACCUUAAGCGUGCUAGCCAUAUCAUCAAUGUCUCUGUUCUAAAUGGAGUAAGCGAAGAGCUGCAGCCCGAAUCCAGGCACCGACACACCAGGGGCAAUCUCUUCAGGGUUUCUCUGUGUAUCUCUGGCUGUCCCGGAACUUGCCAUGUAUAAUUAGGACUUUUAAGAGCACCAGUGUAUCUUCGGAAAUCUUCUAGACUCUUCUUCCGUAUCCCCCAAAGUGGCCAUCCAUCUUCCACUUGAAACUCCAGUUUAAGCACGCCGUCAGGUGGCCCACCUGUCCUCAGAGAAGGCCUCCGUGAUGACCCAAAAUUGUCCCUCUACAAACCCCAGCUCGUGCCCCGCUUCUCACCUCAAGCCCACCGCCUGUACACAUUGCAGCCUUGCAGCUGGCCUCCGUGCCCCUCCGGAGUCGUCUGGAACUUGGCAUGUGCUGUCGAGUAAUAGAUCUGCCCCCACGCGAACCAUGACGUCGAAGGGCAGUCGUAACAGCCCUUGCGGUUCCAAUGAGCCGUGACCUUGAGGAGGUCCGGCUCCAGUCUUAUCAUCAGUGCACGCGGGUGGAGCUGGAGCGGUGGGCGGCGGGAGCAAUAGAGCCGACUUCCCGCUCCUCUCUCAAGCUUUCUCUCUGUGGGCUCCCUGCGUGGGUAGGCAGAGAGUCCAAAUAUUGACUGGCUUCCAAACCCUAUGUGGUGCUCCCCCCGCUGGUGUUGAGAUUGGGAUGCGAUGGAAGUUUGCAGCAUUAGAGAACCGGAGAGACGGACCGGCACUGCGGAGGUGAUAGCGCUCAAAUGCUGGGCCCCUUCUUCCUUCCAUGUGGCUCUGUGGCCACCACCCCGCGAACGUCUAUGCUCUGCCGCACAGCUCCUGUCGUGGUGGUUGCCUUACCGUAGACUCAAAAGCAGCAAAGCCAGCAGGCCUCCCACGCCCUAAGUCCUCCUUGUGGGCUGUUUAUGUCAGAGACUUUGUCCACAGUGGCAGGAGGCUGACCAUACAGCAGGCUGUGUUCCAAGGGGACGCAUUUGAAGCGCCCGUGGAAUCUCUCUCGUCUUUUCUGACCCAACCGCAGAAAUCCGUUGGUGGCUUAUCUGCCAUCAUCACAGGGCCACCUAGAUUCAGGCAGAGGACCAGAGCCCUUUAUCUCCACAUGGAAAGGUCAAAGGUUAUACUCAAGAGGAGUGUGUAGAGCAGGAGCUAUUUGUACAGCCAUUUUUGUUGUUGAUUUGGUUUUGUUUUGGAAAAUGUCAUGUCUCGUAGAGUGUCCUUCCAUUGCCCCAGCCAUUCUCCCUGGACAGCUCAUUACAAGAAAGACAGAUGUCAGACGUAGUGUCUUAACCUCACUCGUUACCAACACAGAGCCUGAAACAGCUUCAUCUUCGAUUGGUGAGCAAUGACUGGGGCAUGAACUGGAAGAUUCCGUUCUGAGAGCUGCUGCUCCCUCCUCCCCCAGGCCCCACCCAGCUGCUCCUAGUACCACUUGUGCUGUGUGACCCCCACCUGCUAAACACAGCAAUUCUUCCCUCACGCUGAGCCUCCCAGACUCUUGCCUCUGGGCAGCUGGGUCUGAGGUUCUGCGGGUGGAGAACGAGGGUGGAGCUUUAACUCACAGAAAUGACUUUAAUUCCAGAAAGGGACCAGCAAAUCUGGAGGAGCUCUUCUGAACCAAGGUUUGCUCAUUUGAUAGGAUGGAGAGAUGAGAAUAGUGGAAAUAUCUACUCUGUAGGGUCCUGGGGUGAGAUCAACUGACGCCUGUGAAGUUCUCUUCACAGGCUGUGAACAGAUGGGCCCUCCUGAAAGUCAUCCCGAGGGCUAUGGAGUGGCUGUGUUUUCAUUCUCACUGGCAGGUCACGAAAACCACUCUGGCAGAGGGAAGUGGAGUGGUUGCCCAGGGACUUCUAGAGAAGAGAGGACUCUCUGGACUUGUGCAAACCAUGCAGCCUUCAAAUCCAGACCCUGUGAUGGUCCAUUUUCAUCCUCAGCUUGACUGGAUUAAGGCAUGCCUAGUGCAACAGGAGGCGCACCUUUUGGUGUGUCUGUGAGGGCAUUUACAAAGAGGAUUAACUGAAUGCAAGCAGUGCCAAGGUCUAGGGGCCCAGGCCAAAUCCAAAAGGCAACUGGAGAAGGCUAGACGGCACCAGCAUUCACCAUUUUCUGCAUCCCGAGUGCUGGUACAGUGUGACCUCACUUGCCAGCUACUGUGCCUUCCAUGCCAUGGUAGACUGUAUCCCUCCAAACCAUGAGCCAAAAUAAGUCAUCGCCCCCCCUCCCCCACCCCCAUGUAUCUUUCCGGUGUUUUGCCACAGUGAUAAGAAAAGUAACUAAUAGAGACCCAACCAAGGAUGACCUAUGUCCCUGACUCCAGAUUCUUUACAGAGAGGGUGGAGUUAACAAGGGAAAGUGUGUUGAAACUGGGGAGACAUGGGAUGCUCCGGGGACAGCAAGAUAGUGUCAAUAAAUCCCACAAACUAGUGCAGACCCUGCCCUUCCACCUUGAGUUCAGCUCUUCUCACUGAGCCCUUUUCAGUGAGGGGAAAGGCAGAGUUGGAUACAUACAUAAUAAGCAUGAUGAGACAGAAAAGAUACCAGGAUCAGGAAGGGAAAGAAUUCACUGAGGGGUCACAGAGUCCAGAUCUACACUGUGUGGCCUUACUUAACUCCUUAUCCCAUCUCUCCCCAACUUCCUGAUCUCUAAAAUGGUGGUGAUUGUGGUACUCAGAGAGCCACACUCACCCAGGGCAGGAUCCGGCAUGUGGUAAGGGUUGAACGUUGACUAGUCUAGUUAUCUUCAGUGUCAUCACCACAGUCAUUAUCACUACCAUCAGCAUCGCCAUCACAUUUAUCAUCAUCACCGCCAUCAUCAUCAUCAUUACCACUAUCACCAUCAUCCAAUAUUUUUUUAAAGAUUUUUUUAUUAUUCCGUAUGUGUGUUUUACUUGCAUGGAUAUAAGCACCCACGUGUGAGCAGCGCUACGGAGGCCAGAAAAGUUACAAAUGUGUGUUCUGGGAAUUAAACCUCAGUCCUCUGCGAGAGCGGUGAGUGUUCCUGACAGCAGAGGUUUCCCUCCAGCCCCGGCAGCGACUGUUAGUGGUUGAUCCAGGAUUCCUUCCUUCAGGAAGCCUAGGUUGCCCACAGGAGAUGUGCCACUACCACACUCCUGAAGUUCCCAAGAUGCUCCGUGUUAUGACUUCAACACCGCCCCGAAAGGGUAAUGUUUCCCACCGCCCCUGAAGCCCCUCAGAACAGCUGAGUAUCUGCACAUGAACCUCCUGUCCAGCUACAACGAGCUCUUUAAGCUUCUCUGAUUGUAAGGGACAAGGUAUGUGUCCCCACCCUCACCCGACCCCAAAGAGUCCUCAAAGAUAGCCGGAAGCAAAAAUUCAAGGAGUUGCCUGUCUGAGAAGGCCACGGAGUCUGACUGGGUGGAUUUGAGAACCUGUAACUCUUUAAUUUGAUGUGUUCUUGUUUUGAGUUUCUUAUCCCUGCUUUGUUAAUGGAAAUAAUCAGCACAAAAGCAAGGAAGGUUCUAGGGAAGUGGUUCUCAACCUGUGGGUCUCCAGCCUUUUAGGGGCGGAAUGACCCUUUCCCAGGGGUCGCCUGAGACCGCCAGAACACAGAUGUUUACAUUAUGAUUCAUAACAGUAGCAAAGUUACAGUUACGAAGUAGCAACAAAAAUAAUUCUAUGGUUUUGGGGAACCACCACAACUCGAAGAAUUGCACUAAAGGGUCUCGAGUGGUUAGGAAGGCUGAGAAGCGCCAGCUGAGAAGCACCGUGCUAGGGGCUGUAGAAAGGAGCUUAUUCUGGAGUCAGUCUGAGGAGGGAAAGAAGCAUGGGUCAAAGUGCUAACUGGAGAUCAUGAGCUGCUGUGGAGGGGAGAGGUAGCCUUCCCUGGAAAGAAGCUCGAGAUUGGGGCUAGGCUACGGAAUGGAUAGUGACUGCUCCCCACACAUUCUUCAAACCCGCUUCUGCAUUUCCUAAAGGCGCCAUGACCAGACCCCGCUGUGCACAUGAGCUGCUCCUCCGGACGGCCUUGGCGUGCAAGCUCUUGCACAUAUACACAUUUGCUACAGAGUCCUAGCUGGCUCGGCUUUUCGUUAGAAACGGGGAAGCUGUGGUUUCUGUAGGCAACUGACAGCAGGCGCCGGGAACUCCCGCAUCACCUGAUCUCUGUGAGACUAAGUUCAAAAGCUAUUCCCGUCUGCAGUAGGCUGUCAGGAUGACCUAAAAAAUGUUAAUGGCGUAAGUCAUCAGAGAAUCAAAAGGUAAUCCCAGGGCAAACAAAUACUUCCUAAGAGGCUUUCUAUAAAUCUAGCUUAAGCAACUGUAUCUGGCAGUCUACUCCUGAGUUCUCCAGCCACUUGCAAAGCUCAGUGCCUCCUUCCCACGAAUAUCCGCAGGGCGUGGCUCCGCUCACCGCUUGCAUUCCGAGUCCCAGGCCCACAGAUCAGCCUUCAGCUGAGACUGAGCUGGAUGUGGGGCAGAAGGAAAGGAAGAGGUCACCCACCCACUCUUUGCCGUGCUGAUAAUGGACAACAAAGACUUCAGCAUCUUCUUUUCCUCUUUAAAAUGUUUCUCAGUGAAUAUUUCCCUCUGAACUUUAUUCAGCAAAGGUUGCCACUGCCAGCAACAUAAGUCUAAUUUACGUCGUGGGGAUUAUCGAGACCUGACUUCCUGAUACUGUUGUCUUCCCCCCUGGGGCUGACAUCCACAUCAGGGCAAGACUCCUGUCAGCCACUGAGUGCAGGUCUUCUCUGAGCUCUCUCCGUCUGUUCCUGAACGCUGAAAACUUUAUUUACUCACUGGUUUCUACGGCAGGGUAUGAAAAUCUCUUUACUAGGCAUACCAUGUUUUUUUUUUUAAAUACAUUUUUUCAUACACUAUAUUCUGAUUAUGGUGACCCAUCCUCCAUCUCCUCCAAGCCUCUCCCCAUCUCCCUAUCUACCCAUCCAUACCUUGUUUCUCUCUUUUUUUAAAAAAACAAAGGGCAAAAACAAAAUCAGAAUUAUAAAGGAAAGCAAAAGAAACAGCACACACACACACACACACACACACAAACCAUAAAAACUCAAAAUCAGAAACCAUAACAUAUAGGCAAAAGACCAAUGAGAUAAAAUGUGUCGAAUCAAAUGAAUAUGAAACAACAAAAAAAGUCUAUGUAAAUACCAUUUCAUUCAUUUCGUGAUGGCCUCAAUGGCUGCAGUGGGGCCUGCCCUUACCUGUGGUGGGUAUAGGUGGUGAGACUCCAUUGGAGAAAACUAACUUUUCUUUUGCCAACAGUUGUCAAUUGAAGGCAGUUUCUCGGUUAUGGAUGUGAGCUUGUGUAUGGCUUGGACCUAGGCAGACGCUGUGCACACCACACGGUGUCUGUGAGUUCAUCCACAUGUCAGUCCUCUUUCCUCAGUGUCCUCCAUCCCCUCUUACAAACUCUCCACCUCUCUUGGACGUAGUUCCCUGAGCCAUCGUGGAGGGAGUUUGACGAAGACAUCCCAUUUAGAAGUGAGUGUCCCAAGGUUUCUUCGUCUCUGCACAUUGUCCAUUUGUAGGACAAUGUACUGACUGGUUGUUGUAGGAAGCUCCUCUGACAAUGGCUGAGCAAGACACUGAUCAAUGAGUACAGUACAGUGUCAUUAGAAGUCCUUUUAUUGCUGUGCUCCUUUAGCAGAACCAUGGUGUCUGGUUUUCCUCUCGGCCCACGGCUUAUCUAAUUUCAGCUUCUUGGCACCUGAGCAGUGACAGGCAUGGGUUUCAUCUUGGGGAGUGGGGCUUAAAUCCAUGCAGAGAGGGGUUGGUUAGUCCUACAAUGUCUAUGCCACUAUUAUACCAGCAUCUCAGACAGGCAGGUCACCAUUGUAGACUGCAGGUUUUGUAGUCGGGUUGGUGGUCACUUUCCUCCUCUGCUAGUGUGCAGAGCGCUUUCCAGAACCAGGAACACUUGUCAGUGGGGGUGAAGGUUCUAAUUAGGCACCAGCUCAACUUCUCCAAUGUUCAAUGAGCUGUGUAGGUGUUGUCUUCAGCAAUAGAGCCUUGCCAUCAAGCUGUGGAGAGCAGCCAGAAGCCUUGGCAAUAGCUUGUUUGCUUGGAGAUUUUCCGUGGGGCCCAUGGAAACUCAAAUAGCUGCAACCCACUCCUGGAACUGGAAGUUUCACCUUGUGGUAAACAUAUCUAGUUGGGGCAUUGUCUCCCACAUUAUUUGGUGACUCCAUUUAGAUUUCUUUCACAUAUGUGUAUGUUUGAAGAAGCUUCUCCUGUGGUAGGUUUCCAUAUGAUCCCUCUAAUGGUCCAUAUUCCCUCCCUUAGCUCUCUCUUCCCCCUCCAUUUGAGCCUCCCAUUCCAUCCUCCCCCCAUCUCUCCAUAACCCUAUGUCCUAUUUUCCAUUCCUAGUUUUCCCCCUUCCUAGUCCCUUACUCUAACCUAACAUCCAUGGCUGUAUGGAUUAUAGCAUGCCUAUCAAUGGGUUAGAAGCUAGCAUCCACAUAUAAGAGAGUACAUAUUGUCUUUUGGGGCCUAUGUUAUCUCUCUCAUAAUAUUUUUUUCCUAGCUUCAUCCAUUUACCUGUGAAUUUCAUGAUUUCAUUUUUUAAACAGCUGAAUUCCAUUGUGUUAAUGUACAUAUUUUCAUUAUCCACUCAUGUGUUGGUAGACAUCUAGGCUGUGUCCAGUUUCUGGCUAUGAACAUGGUUGAUCAAGUGUCUCUGUAGUGGGAUAUAGGGUGCUUUGGGUAUAUGAGAGUGGCAUAGCUAGAUCUUGAGGUACAUCUGUUGUGUGACCAAAUUUUUCCUGGGAAGAAAAAACACAUUCAUCUACUUACUCUAGUUAGAGAACCCGUGACAGGCCAUAGUAUAGAUGCCACCAAAGUCCAGCUUGGUGAAGUGAUGAGUUUUAUUUUGAUUACUUACAGGAGUAUAGGUGAAGAGUUACUUACAGGAGAAGUGACCCAGAGACAACUACAUCGCCAUGGCCCACCCCAGCAUGGGUGGCAGGAAGGGGGCUAGUAAACAUAGUUUCAGGGACUUCCUGAGCUUUUUCAAUUUCUUUACCUUCCUGCUUAAGGAGCUCCCCUACAGGAUGAGAUGCUUUGAUCUCAGAGGAAACUGUUAUACAAAAGAUAUAUUCCCAGCAUUCUGAGGCUGCAGACUAUCUAAUUUUCAAUGGAUAAUGUAAACCACAAGAUCUAGCCAAGUGUGACAAGGGAAGAACAAUUCUUACCUAGAAAAUAACUUACCGUAACCAAAUUUGUAUUUUACAAUAGUUGACAAUAAAGUACAUC